ACGUAGACAACCAGGAUGUUGGCUCAGAAGCAGCCACACAUUCAAAGAGUGCGUAAUAGCUCACUGGUCGAGCGUCUUUGCGCGGAGAAUUUAACGGGGCUAAACCUGACACCGAAGCUUAGGCAAUACAGCAAUGUAUUGGGUAGGGGAGCGUUGUAUACGCGGUGAAACAGUAGCGCAAGCGGCUGUGGAGUGUAUAGAAGUGAGAAUGCCGGAAUGAGUAGCGCGAAUGCAGUGAGAAUCUGCAUGGCCGAAAGCCUCAGGUUUCUGGAGGAAGGUUCGUCCGCUCCAGGUUAGUCGGGAGCUAAGGUGAGGCCUAACGGCGUAGCCGAUGCACAGACGGUAGAGAUUCCGUCACCACCAAAAGAGUUAAACACAGGGACACAUUUGAAGUCUCGGAGCCGGGUGUUGGUUCCGGUAGCGAUCGAGGGAAAUUAGUACCGAAGUUCGGGAUGGAAGAUGGCGAGAAAAGCUGUGUGUAUUUCUGCGGUGCCCGUACCGCAAACCGACACAGGUAGGUAGGAAGAAGAUUCUAAGGCCAACGGGAGAAGGGUUGUUAAG
rnacentral:rRNA from 1 species